UGCGGUGACGCCCGGGGGGGAGCGGGGAUGUCCCCAAGGGGAGGGGACAGGACUGGAGACCCCCGGGGGGAGUGGCCCUGGCCCCUGAGGGGGUGGGUGGCCUGUGGACAGGUGUGUCACAGGUGUGCACAGGUGGGUGCCAGGUGUGCCACAGGUGUGUCACUGGUAUGUCCAGGUGUGCCACAGGUGUGCCACAGGUGUGUCACUUGUAUGUCCAGGUGUGCACAGGUGUGUCACUGGUAUGUCCAGGUGUGCCACAGGUGUGCACAGGUGUGCCACUGGUAUGUCCAGGUGUGCACAGGUGGGCUCCAGGUGUGCACAGGUGUGUCACUGGUAUGUCCAGGUGUGCACAGGUGGGCUCCAGGUGUGCACAGGUGUGCCACUGGUAUGUCCAGGUGUGCACAGGUGUGCACAGGUGUGCCACAGGUGUGCACAGGUGUGUCACUGGUAUGUCCAGGUGUGCACAGGUGGGCCCCAGGUGGGCCCAAGUGGGUCCAGGUGGGCACAGGUGGGCACAGAUGGGCCCCAGGUGCUCCUCUGGUAUGCCCAGGUGCACCCAGCUGUGCCCAGGUGUGCACCAGCUGUGCCCAGGUGUGCCCAGAUAUGCCCAGGUGUGCCCAGAUAUGCCCAGGUGUGCACCAGCUGUGCCCAGGUGUGCUCUAGGUGUGCCCAGAAGUACCCAGGUGUGCCCAGAUGUGCCCCAGGUGUACCCCAGGUGUGCACAGGUGUGCCCUGGGUGAAUCCAGCUGUGCCCAGCUGUGCCCAGGUGCACUCCAGGUGUGCCCAGGUGAACCCAUAGGUACCCCAGGUGUGCCCAGGUGUGCCCAGGUGUGCCCAGGUGUGCCCAGGUGUGCCCAGGUGUGUGUGUGCGUGUGCAACACGAGAUCCAAUCACUCCUUGCGUUCUCUGUUUCGUCCUUGCGUUGAUUAUUUUCCUUUUCUCUCGGAUUUCAAUUCCUUUUUUCUUCCUUUCCCCCCUCCUCCUGUUUUUGUUUCGUUUUUCCGUUCGGUUUUUUUUCUUUUUUGUAUCUCGAUCAUUUUUGUACAGAAGAAACGAGAGCCUUUUUUUGAAUAACAAAGAGAAAAACACAAAAACGAAAAAAAAACCAAAAAAAAAAGACCAAAAAAAAGAAAGAAAAGAAAAAAAGGUAAAAAAAAAAAUUAAUCAUGAUGCAAUUUCUUUGGAUUGCAAAAAAAGCAACUCUUUACAUUUAAGUGAAGUGUCUUAACAUUUUAUAUUGUUUUAAAAAAUAUAUUUACAUAUUAUAUAUAUAUAAUAUACGUAAUAUAAAUCUAUAUAUAAAUAUUUAAAGAGGGGAAGUAAAAAAAAAAAAAAAACCUUUAAAAAUGAAAGAAAAAAAAAAAGAAAAAAAUAGAAGAGAAAAGAAGAGAAAUCAAUCACGGUCUUAUUUCAAGGGGGUGGAUUUGAAAUCCCUGCGUAGGUUUAGAGCUCCUCGUGGUCUCCAGAGCGGCUUCCACUGAGUCCCCGCCCUCUUUUGUCCCCAACCCUGUCCCCAAGUGCCGGUGGUGGCCUUGGGGACAUCCCCGCAGUCCCCAGCGCCAGCAGCAAUAGCAGUUCCCUGAUGCGUUCGGAAUUAAUUUAAUUUUUAAUUAUGAUGAUGAUGAUUUUUUUCUUUUCUCGGUACCAAAGUGAAUUUACUGUAGCAAAGCUUGCGGGGGUGGCACCUGGCGCUGUCCCCUCCCCUGUCGCCGCUGUCACUUUGUGUCACCCGAGGGGUGGCGGGCGCGCGGUGCCCACCCUGCUGCUGAUGGGUGUGGAGGUGACAAUGCCACCCCUGGGGGACACCGAUAUGGAGGGGUGACAAUGCCACCCCCUUGGGGACAUCGACAUGGGGAGGUGACAAUUGUCAUCCCCUCAAAAAUGUCACAGGGAGGUGACAAUGCCACCCCCUUGGGGACAUCGACAUGGAGGGUGACAAUUGUCAUCCUCUGUGGGGACACCUCUAUGGGGAGGUGACAAUUGCCACCCCCUGGGGGACACCAACACGGAGGGUGACAAUUGUCAUCCUCUGUGGGGACACCCUCAAAAAUGUCACAGGGAGGUGACAAUGCCACUCCCUGGGGGACAUCAACAUGGGGAGGUGACAAUGCCACCCCCUUGGAGACACCGACACGGAGGGUGACAAUUGCCACCCUCUGGGGGACAUCGACAUGGAGGGUGACAAUUGUCAUCCUCUGUGGGGACACCCACAUGGAGGGGUGACAAUUGCCACCCUCCGUGGGGACACCUCUAUGGGGAGUUGACAAUGCCACCCCCUGGGGGACACCGACAUGGAGGGUGACAAUUGCCACCACCCCCUUUGGGGACACCUCUAUGGGGAGGUGACAAUUGCCAUCCUCCAUGGGGACACCCUCAGAAAUGUCACAGGGAGGUGACAAUUGCCACCACCCCCUUUGGGGAUACCUACAUGGGGAGGUGACAAUUGCCGCCCUUGUGGGGACACCCACAGAAAUGUCACGGGGGGUGACAAUUGCCACCACCCCCUUUGGGGACACUUCUAUGGGGAGGUGACAAUUGCCACCCUUGUGGGGACACCCUCAAAAAUGACAUAAGGAGGGUGACAAUUGUCAUCUGCUGUGGGGACACCCGUAUGAGGGGGUGACAAUUGCCAUCCUCCAUGGGGACACCCUCAAAAAUGUCAUGGGGAGGUGACAAUUGCCACCACCCCCUUUGGGGACACCCACAUGGGGAGGUGACAAUUGUCAUCCUCCUUGGUGACACCCUCAGAAAUGUUGGGGGGGGGUGACAAUUGCCACCCUUGUGGUGACACCCACAGAAAUGUCGGGGGGGUGACAAUUGCCACCACCCCCUUUGGGGACACUUCUAUGGGGAGGUGACAAUUGCCAUCCUCCAUGGGGACACCCUCAAAAAUGUCACAGGGAGGUGACAAUUGCCACCACCCCCUUUGGGGAUACCUACAUGGGGAGGUGACAAUUGCCACCCUUGUGGGGACACCCACAGAAAUGUCACGGGGGGUGACAAUUGCCACCACCCCCUCUGGGGACACCCACAUGGGGAGGUGACAAUUGCCAUCCUCCUUGGUGACACCCUCAGAAAUGUCACGGGGAGGUGACAAUUGCCACCUUCCACGGGGAUGUCCCCAAAAAUGACACAAGGGGGGCUGUCCUUGGUGCCACCCCGGUGUCCCCACCUUGUUGUCCCCACCUCGAUGUCCCCAAGCUGUCACAGAUUUUGGGGGUGUUUUUUCCCCACUUUGUCCCCAAGCCCCAGCUCGGUGUCACUUGAGCCAUGGGGAGGUGACAGCGCCAAGCCGGGAGGUGACAGCGCCAGGUGAGGGGGUGGCAGGUCCCGCCCUGUCCCCAAGCCCCCCCUCAGUGUCCCCUUUUCCCGCCGGGUGUCCCCGUGAGCGUGACGUCCCCGCGUGCGUGUGCGUCCGUCCCCUUCAUGGCAUCGUGCAAAAAUCCCUCGCAAGAAGCAAGAAAACAACGACAAAACCAAAAAUAAAUCAAAAUUAAAAACGAAAACUCCUCAAUUCUGGUUGAAACCAGGAAAAAAAAUUUAAAAAAAGACCAAAAAAAGAGGAAAAAAUGUAAAAAACACCAAAAAAAGCCCCAAAUCCAAGCGCUGCCUGCAUGUGUCGGAGGCGCCCGCUGCAUGCGCUCCCCGCUUCGCUCGUCUGGAUGUUGUUUCAAAACGAACAAAAAAAUAAAAAUAAAAAGGCUACGACUGCGAAAAGGACAAAAAAAACAAAAAGAGAAGAACAAACUGAGAAGAAAAAGCGAAAAAAAAGAGGAAAAAAAAGCGAAUUUCUGGUUCUUUUUCGAGGCUGUUUUGGGGUUUCUACGCCGUCGUGUCUCUCUCUCUCUCUCUCUCUCUCUCUCUUUCUUCCGCAUGAAUUUUCUCGUGAACUGUUUUAAAAAGGAAAUAAAACGAACAAAAGGGGUGAAAACAAACAAAUAAAAAAGAGUGGAAAACGGAGGGAAUGUAAAAAAAAACAAACAGAAAAAAAAAAGGGAAAAAAAAGAAGAAAAAUGUAAAAAAAAAAAAAAGCCUCGCGCAGGGGAAAAGCGGGGGAGGGGAGGGAGGGGACUCCCCUCCCCCCACCCUGUGCCACCCCUCCCUUCCCCCGCCGUGUCCCCAGUGUCGCCGUGGAUGCCAUGGGUAGUUGUGUGUGACCGUCGUAAUUUCCCGUGACAAAAGGGUUGCUUUUUCUUAUUUUCCUUUUUUCCCUUUAUAACUUUUCUUUUCUAUCAGAGUGUCUGGCUUUAAUAAAAUUACUUUUUUUUUUUAAAUUUUGGCUUUUUGUGCUUUUUUACCCUCAUUUUUUCCCACCUCUCCAGAGUGAGAAUUUUGAUGGGGUAUCCUCAGUUCUUUAAUUUCCUCCCCUCACAUGCUCAGAGAAAAAUGAGAUUUAUCCUCCCUAAUUUUAAAUCCAGGAUUAAAAAUUCCCAGCACCAGGAAUUCGAGGUCUCUUCCCACCUCUCCCACCACCCAAAAUUAGGAAUUAACACCAGCAAAACCUUGAAUAAUCAGUUUAUUUCCAAUAUAUAGACCAGGACUGGAGGUGGGGGGCCAAAGCAGGAGGGAUUUUUUGGGUUGGUUUGAGAUUUUGGGUUUUUUGUUGGUUUUUUUUUAGUUUUGCAGAUCCUGCCAGGAAUGGGGGGUGGGAGGGUUUUUUUUUUGGGGGGUGGGACAUGCAGGAGGGUUUUAAAAAGUCACCACUGGUCCAGCACGUCCCCUUGCUCAGGGCUGGCCUUUCCCAAAACUUCUUUAAAAAAUCCUUUAUAAAUCCUUUGGGAUAUGUUACACGGGCAGUGACGAUAUUUACAGGGGGAAAAACAGACAAAAAACCAGAAAACAACCCCCAAAAAAAUCAAAAAUAAAGGAAAAACAAACGACUUUACAGCAAAUAUUUGCAUAACGACACGGAGAGACACGGUGACAGGGGGUGUGACACGAUGCCACCCAGUUGGUGGCACUUGUGUCCCCACGUGGCCAGGCCGGGGGUCUCCGUGCCCCCUUCCUAAAGUGCUUCUGGCCCGGGAGGGGACAGGGACAAUCCAGGGAGGGCCACACGCGGGGUGGUGGCCCGUGGUGAGGGGUAAAGGAUGGCAGUGUCCCCUCCCCUGCCGCGGGGUGUCCCUGUCCCCUCCUGGGCUCCUGGGGACCCCCCCAAGGCUCAGCAGAGCCCUCCCAGGUCAAGGUGACAGCGCUGAGGUCCCCAAGGGACCCCAGGACACGAGGGGGGGUCUCUGAUCCCCAAAGUCCUCAGGGCCUGCAGAGUCCCCAGGGCCACCAGGGCAGGGGGCUCUCAUUGAGGUCACCAGGGUCCCCAAGGUCCCCAGGGCAGGGGGCUCUGUCCCUGAUGUCCCCAGGGUCCCCCAGGGCAGGGGUCUCUGUCCCUGAUGUCCCCAGGGCAGGGGUGUCUCAUUGAGGUCCCCAGGGUCCCCAAGGUCCCCAGGGCAGGAGUUUCUGACCCUGAUGUCCCCAGGGUCCCCCAGGGCAGGCGGCUCUGUCCCUGAUGUCCCCAGGGCAGGGGUGUCCCAUCGAGGUCCCCAGGGUCCCUGAUGUCCCCAGGGUCCCCCAGGGCAGGGGUCUCUGUCCCUGAUGUCCCCAGGGUCCCCCAGGGCAGGGAUGUCUGUCCCUGAUGUCCCCAGGGUCCCCCAGGGCAGGGAUGUCUGUCCCUGAUGUCCCCAGGGUCCCCCAGGGCAGGGAUGUCUGUCCCUGAUGUCCCCAGGGCAGGGGUGUCUCAUUGAGGUCCCCAGGGUCCUCGAGGUCCCCAGGGCAGGGGUCUCUGUCCCUGAUGUCCCCAGGGUCCCCCAGGGCAGGGGGCUCUGUCCCUGAUGUCCCCAGGGUCCCCCAGCAGAGGGGUCUGUGACACCGAGGUCCCCAGGGUCCCCCAGGGCAGGGGUCUCUGUCCCUGAUGUCCCCAGGGCAGGGGUGUCCCAUCGAGGUCCCCAGGGUCCCUGAUGUCCCCAGGGUCCCCCAGGGCAGGGGUGCCUGUCCCUGAUGUCCCCAGGGCAGGGGUGUCUCAUCGAGGUCCCCAGGGUCCUCGAGGUCCCCAGGGCAGGGGUCUCUGUCCCUGAUGUCCCCAGGGUCCCCCAGGGCAAGGGUGCCUGUCCCUGAUGUCCCCAGGGCAGGGGUGUCUCAUCGAGGUCCCCAGGGUCCUCGAGGUCCCCAGGGCAGGGGUCUCUGUCCCUGAUGUCCCCAGGGUCCCCCAGGGCAGGGGGCUCUGUCCCUGAUGUCCCCAGGGUCCCCCAGGGCAGGGGGCUCUGUCCCUGAUGUCCCCAGGGUCCCCCAGGGCAGGGGGCUCUGUCCCUGAUGUCCCCAGGGCAGGGGUGUCUCAUUGAGGUCCCCAGGGUCCUCGAGGUCCCCAGGGCAGGGGUCUCUGUCCCUGAUGUCCCCAGGGUCCCCCAGGGCAGGGGGCUCUGUCCCUGAUGUCCCCAGGGUCCCCCAGCAGAGGGAUCUGUGACACCGAUGUCCCCAGGGUCCCCCAACACAGGGGUCUCUGUCCCUGAUGUCCCCAGGGUCCCCCAGGGUAGGGGUCUCUCAUUGAGGUCCCCAGGGUCCUCGAGGUCCCCAGGGCAGGAGUCUCUGACCCUCAUGUCCCCAGGGUCCCCCAACACAGGAGUCUGUGACACCAAUGUCCCCAGGGUCCCCAGGGUCCCCCAACGCACGGGUCUGUGACACCGAGGUCCCCAGGGUCCCCCCAACACAGGGGUCUGUGACACCGAGGUCCCCAGGGUCCCCCCAACACAGGGGUCUGUGACACCGAGGUCCCCAGGGUCCCCCAACACAGGGGUCUGUGACACCGAUGUCCCCAGGGUCCCCAGGGUCCCCCAACACAGGGGUCUGUGACACCGAUGUCCCCAGGGUCCCCUAACACACGGGUCUGUGACACUGAUGUCCCCAGGGUCCCCAGGGUCCCCAGCCCGGGGCAGGUCCCCGC